CUUGGCUUUUUUAAUAAAUACAAAUUGUCGCUCUUUCCAUUUAUUUGUGGCUCAGUCGCUAGUAUCUCUGGGUCUGUAAUAACUGCCCAACCCCCGCUCUUAUCAGUCUGUCACGAAACAACACGAAUAUUACUGAGCCCGUCUUGCUCCGUCACACUAAUAACAGCAACACCAUCUAAAAAGCAUACUCGUUCCCCCUAUGGUAGCAUUUCCAACAUGCAACUUCUUUGUGUACGACUUCCACCAACACGAAUCUGUCAGUUCCCACACCUGCCACUAGAUACAAUAAGUAUUAUGCUCUGGUACUCCUACUCAACACUUCCAACACCAACAAAUAGUGAGGUGGCUCAUCCCUCUACAUCUCUCACACCAUCCUCUUUUGUGUCAUACUCAUGUUCGAUACUCUUUCGGGUGUGUGUUAUUUAAACGAAAACAUCCACACUUUUGUACUACAUAAAAAAACAUACAAAAAUAUAAA